UACGUAGGGGGCUAGCGUUGUCCGGAUUUCCUGGGCGUAAAGAGCGUGUAGGCGGCCAAACAGGUCCGUUGUGAAAACUGGAGGCUCAACCUCCAGACGUCGACGGAAACCGUGUGGCUAGAGUCCGGAAGAGGAGAGUGGAAUUCCUGGUGUAGCGGUGAAAUGCGCAGAUAUCAGGAAGAACACCAAUGGCGAAGGCAGCUCUCUGGGACGGUACUGACGCUGAGACGCGAAAGCGUGGGGAGCGAACAGG
rnacentral:rRNA from 1 species